GUAGUUGUGGCUGAGUGGUUAAGGUGAUUGACUCAAAAUCUAUUGGGUGUCUCUCCGUGCAGGUUCGAGUCCUGCCGACUGUC
rfam:Danio rerio unplaced genomic contig NA5, GRCz11 reference primary assembly.